GGAUAGGGGUGAAAGGCCAAUCAAACCCGGAGAUAUCUCGUUCUCCCCGAAAUAGCUUUAGGGCUAGCGUCGCGCGUUCACCGCCGGAGGUAGAGCACCGGAUGGACGAGGGGGCUUCGCCGCCUACCGAAUCCAACCGAACUCCGAAUGCCGGCGGCCCAGAGCGCGGCAGUCAGAGCAUGUGGGCUAAGCUGUGUGCUCGAGAGGGAAACAGCCCGGACCGCCCGCUAAGGUCCCCAAGUUCCAGCCGAGUGGCAAAGGAUGUGCGUCCGCCCAGACAACCAGGAUGUUGGCUUAGAAGCAGCCAUCCAUUCAAAGAGUGCGUAACAGCUCACUGGUCGAGUGGACAUGCGCCGACAAUACACGGGGCUAAGCUGGACACCGAAGCGGCGGGAUUUUAAUUCAUUAGAAUCGGUAGGGGAGCUUCCCAUGGGCGGAGAAGCCGGAGGGCGACCGACGGUGGAGCGCAUGGGAGUGAGAAUGCUGGCAUGAGUAGCGAGAGACGAGAGAGUAACUCGUCCGCCGUGAACCCGAGGUUUCCUGGGCAAGGCUAAUCCUCCCAGGGUCAGUCGGGGGCUAAGGCGAGGCCGGGAGGCGUAGCCGACGCGCAGCAGGCAGACAUUCCUGCACCGCGCACGCGGCGCUACGACCGACGGGGCGACGGAUGGGGGUGGCUCGGCGGGGUUCUGGACGUCCCCGUGAUGGAGCGCGGCCCGCGGACCAGGGAAAUCCGGUCCGCAUCGAGGGCGAGGCUCCGGACGAAGCGACUGAGCGAAGCGAGUGAGCCCGAGGUCCCUAGAAAAACCCCUAGGCAGGCGCGUGCGCGCCCGUACCGCAAACCGACACAGGUGGGUGGGUAGAACAUACCGAGGCGAUCGGGUCAACCAUGGUCAAGGAACUCGGCACAAUGGCCCCGUAACUUCGGGAGAAGGGGUGCCCGCGCGUACGUGAACCGGCUCGCCCGGGGAGCGGAGGCGGGCCGCAGUGGAGAGGCCCAAGCGACUGUUUACCAAAAACACAGGACUCUGCAGAAGCCGCAAGGCGACGUAUAGGGUCUGACGCCUGCCCGGUGCCGGAAGGUCACGCGGAGGAGUUAGCCGUUAAGGCGAAGCCCCGAAGCCAAGCCCCGGUAAACGGCGGCCGUAACUAUAACGGUCCUAAGGUAGCGAAAUUCCUUGUCGGGU
rnacentral:rRNA from 1 species